rnacentral:rRNA from 1 species
CGAAUGCUGACAUAAGUAACGAUAAAGCGGGUGAAAAGCCCGCUCGCCGGAAGACCAAGGGUUCCUGUCCAACGUUAAUCGGGGCAGGGUGAGUCGACCCCUAAGGCGAGGCCGAAAGGCGUAGUCGAUGGGAAACAGGUUAAUAUUCCUGUACUUGGUGUUACUGCGAAGGGGGGACGGAGAAGGCUAUGUUGGCCGGGCGACGGUUGUCCCGGUUUAAGCGUGUAGGCUGGUUUUCCAGGCAAAUCCGGAAAAUCAAGGCUGAGGCGUGAUGACGAGGCACUACGGUGCUGAAGCAACAAAUGCCCUGCUUCCAGGAAAAGCCUCUAAGCAUCAGGUAACAUCAAAUCGUACCCCAAACCGACACAGGUGGUCAGGUAGAGAAUACCAAGGCGCUUGAGAGAACUCGGGUGAAGGAACUAGGCAAAAUGGUGCCGUAACUUCGGGAGAAGGCACGCUGAUAUGUAGGUGAAGCGACUUGCUCGUGGAGCUGAAAUCAGUCGAAGAUACCAGCUGGCUGCAACUGUUUAUUAAAAACACAGCACUGUGCAAACACGAAAGUGGACGUAUACGGUGUGACGCCUGCCCGGUGCCGGAAGGUUAAUUGAUGGGGUCAGCGCAAGCGAAGCUCUUGAUCGAAGCCCCGGUAAACGGCGGCCGUAACUAUAACGGUCCUAAGGUAGCGAAAUUCCUUGUCGGGUAAGUUCCGACCUGCACGAAUGGCGUAAUGAUGGCCAGGCUGUCUCCACCCGAGACUCAGUGAAAUUGAACUCGCUGUGAAGAUGCAGUGUACCCGCGGCAAGACGGAAAGACCCCGUGAACCUUUACUAUAGCUUGACACUGAACAUUGAGCCUUGAUGUGUAGGAUAGGUGGGAGGCUUAGAAGUGUGGACGCCAGUCUGCAUGGAGCCGACCUUGAAAUACCACCCUUUAAUGUUUGAUGUUCUAACGUUGACCCGUAAUCCGGGUUGCGGACAGUGUCUGGUGGGUAGUUUGACUGGGGCGGUCUCCUCCUAAAGAGUAACGGAGGAGCACGAAGGUUGGCUAAUCCUGGUCGGACAUCAGGAGGUUAGUGCAAUGGCAUAAGCCAGCUUGACUGCGAGCGUGACGGCGCGAGCAGGUGCGAAAGCAGGUCAUAGUGAUCCGGUGGUUCUGAAUGGAAGGGCCAUCGCUCAACGGAUAAAAGGUACUCCGGGGAUAACAGGCUGAUACCGCCCAAGAGUUCAUAUCGACGGCGGUGUUUGGCACCUCGAUGUCGGCUCAUCACAUCCUGGGGCUGAAGUAGGUCCCAAGGGUAUGGCUGUUCGCCAUUUAAAGUGGUACGCGAGCUGGGUUUAGAACGUCGUGAGACAGUUCGGUCCCUAUCUGCCGUGGGCGCUGGAGAACUGAGGGGGGCUGCUCCUAGUACGAGAGGACCGGAGUGGACGCAUCACUGGUGUUCGGGUUGUCAUGCCAAUGGCACUGCCCGGUAGCUAAAUGCGGAAGAGAUAAGUGCUGAAAGCAUCUAAGCACGAAACU